rnacentral:misc_RNA from 1 species
GGACCAUGAUGACCCUUGUUGCAUGCUGCGAAAAAAUGGAGCAAGUCACUUACAAUUAUAUGAAAACAAAUACAAGAAAAUUACGGAACAUUUCGAGGAGCAGAAAGAACAUUUAUCUAAUAUAGAAGGCAAUAAAAGAAAAAAAAGUUUACUAAAUACAAUACCCUAUUUGCUGAAGAGUCAUCCAAAAGCUAGAUUCAAGAUUAAUAUAUGCACAUGGAAAUAGCCUUCUCUUGUUUUACUUAUUCAACAAAUUAUGCUGGAGAAUGUACCUAUCUCGUCGCCAGUAUGAAAAUCAAAUACAUGAAUCCACAUAUCUUCUC